AUUGAACGCUGGCGGCAUGCUUUACACAUGCAAGUCGAACGGCAGCACGGGGGCAACCCUGGUGGCGAGUGGCGAACGGGUGAGUAAUGCAUCGGAACGUGCCCAGUAGUGGGGGAUAGCCCGGCGAAAGCCGGAUUAAUACCGCAUACGACCUGAGGGUGAAAGCGGGGGACCGUAAGGCCUCGCGCUAUUGGAGCGGCCGAUGUCAGAUUAGCUAGUUGGUGGGGUAAAGGCUCACCAAGGCGACGAUCUGUAGCUGGUCUGAGAGGACGACCAGCCACACUGGGACUGAGACACGGCCCAGACUCCUACGGGAGGCAGCAGUGGGGAAUUUUGGACAUUGGGCGCAAGCCUGAUCCAGCCAUGCCGCGUGCGGGAAGAAGGCCUUCGGGUUGUAAACCGCUUUGUCAGGGAAGAAAAGCUCUGGCUAAUACUUCGGAGUGAUGACGGUACCUGAAGAAUAAGCACCGGCUAACUACGUGCCAGCAGCCGCGGUAAUACGUAGGGUGCAAGCGUUAAUCGGAAUUACUGGGCGUAAAGCGUGCGCAGGCGGUUGUGCAAGACAGAUGUGAAAUCCCCGGGGCUUAACCUGGGAACUGCAUUUGUGACUGCACGGCUGGAGUGCGGCAGAGGGGGAUGGAAUUCCGCGUGUAGCAGUGAAAAUGCGUAGAUAUGCGGAGGAACACCGAUGGCGAAGGCAAUCCCCUGGGCCUGCACUGACGCUCAUGCACGAAAGCGU
rnacentral:rRNA from 1 species